AAUAGAUACCCCAGGUAGUCCACGCCGUAAACGAUGGAUACUAGCUGUUUGAGCGCAAGUUUGAGUGGCUAAGCGAAAGUGAUAAGUAUCCCACCUGGGGAGUACGGGCGCAAGCCUGAAACUCAAAGGAAUUGACGGGGGCCCGCACAAGCGGUGGAGCAUGUGGUUUAAUUCGAUGAUACGCGAGGAACCUUACCAGGGCUUAAAUGUAGAUUGACGUAUUUGGAAACAGAUAUUUCUUCGGACAAUUUACAAGGUGCUGCAUGGUUGUCGUCAGCUCGUGCCGUGAGGUGUCAGGUUAAGUCCUAUAACGAGCGCAACCCCUGUUGUUAGUUGCCAGCGAGUAAUGUCGGGAACUCUAGCAAGACUGCCAGUGUAAACUGUGAGGAAGGUGGGGAUGACGUCAAAUCAUCACGGCCCUUACGUCCUGGGCCACACACGUGCUACAAUGGCCGGUACAGAGAGCAGCCACUUAAGCGAUAAGGAGCGAAUCUAUAAAGCCGGUUCACAGUUCGGA
rnacentral:rRNA from 1 species